UAAGAGCCCUUCUUGUUUAGUUAUUAUUCUAUUCCCUAAGACCCACCAUCUAUAAUAUCUAUCACUUCAUCCAUUUGAUGUAUAAUGUACGAUUCCAAUUCCAUGUCAAACGCUUCUAUAAAUAUGGACUUGCCCCAUGCAGCUACACAACUCAUACACUGCUUUCUAGAGCUUCAAGCGUUUGAGGGUAUAAAGAAGGAGAAGAAGAAUGGCAUCACUCAAGGCUGAGAAACCUGCUCACCAGGCCGCACUGGUCAAGAAAGAGCCAACCAAAGCUAGCACCGGUGCACCCAAAGCUCCAGCCUCUAAGCCGGCCCCUAAAAGGGCCGAGCAGAAGCCCCGGGAGCCUAGGAAGAAGGUAACCGGAAGCAAGCCAACAACAAAAUGAAGACAUUCAACAAUAUGAAGAAUCCAUGAAUUAGUCUUAAUUCAUGGUGAUCAUAUUGAAUCAUAUCUAUCCAUAUUAAUGUAUUUAACUUUUGUUGCUACUUGUCAAUGUCUCUCCUUUUAGGCUUCGCCUAAUCAUGAAUAAACUAUAUACUUAGAGGUGUUGAUUGGUU